ACUACGCUGGCGGCGUGCCUAACACAUGCAAGUCAACGGUAACAUGUCUGUAGCAAUACAGAUGAUGACGAGUGGCGCACGGGUGAGUAAUACAUAAACAAUCUUCCCUUUAGACGGGAUAACUUUGGGAAACCAGGGCUAAUACCCGAUAAGUUCCUCGAAUGGCAUCAUUUGAGGAAGAAAUCCCGCAAGGGACUGAAGGAUGAGUUUGUGUCUGAUUAGCUAGUUGGUGAGGUAAUGGCUCACCAAGGCGAUGAUCAGUAGCUGGUCUGAGAGGAUGGUCAGCCACACUGGAACUGAGACACGGUCCAGACUCCUACGGGAGGCAGCAGUGAGGAAUUUUGCGCAAUGGGCGAAAGCCUGACGCAGCGACGCCGCGUGAACGAUGAAGUCCUUCGGGAUGUAAAGUUCUGUCAGCAGGGACAAUAAUGAUGGUACCUGCAGAGGAAGGCCCGGCAAACUAUGUG
rnacentral:rRNA from 1 species